rnacentral:rRNA from 1 species
GAAUUCGCCCUUGGGGAAUUUUCCGCAAUGGGCGAAAGCCUGACGGAGCAAGGCCGCGUGGGGGAGGAAGGUUCUUGGAUUGUCAACCCCUUUUCUCAGGGAAGAACACAAUGACGGUACCUGAGGAAAAAGCAUCGGCUAACUCCGUGCCAGCAGCCGCGGUAAUACGGGGGAUGCAAGCGUUAUCCGGAAUGAUUGGGCGUAAAGAGUCCGUAGGUAGUCAUCCAAGUCUGCUGUUAAAGAGCGAGGCUUAACCUCGUAAAGGCAGUGGAAACUGGAAGACUAGAGUGUAGUAGGGGCAGAGGGAAUUCCUGGUGUAGCGAUGAAAUGCGUAGAGAUCAGGAAGAACACCGGUGGCGAAGGCGCUCUGCUGGGCUAUAACUGACACUGAGGGACGAAAGCUAGGGGAGCGAAUGGGAUUAGAUACCCCAGUAGUCCUAGCGGUAAACGAUGGAAACUAGGUGUGGCCUGUAUCGACCCGGGCCGUGCCGAAGCAAACGCGUUAAGUUUCCCGCCUGGGGAGUACGCACGCAAGUGUGAAACCCAAAGGAAUUGACGGGGGCCCGCACAAGCGGUGGAGUAUGUGGUUUAAUUCGAUGCAACGCGAAGAACCUUACCAGGACUUGACAUCUCUGGAAUCUCCUUGAAAGGGGAGAGUGCCGUAAGGAACCAGAA